rnacentral:rRNA from 1 species
GACGAACGCUGGCGGCGUGCCUAAUACAUGCAAGUCGAGCGCUGAAGGUUGGUACUUGUACCAACUGGGUUAGCAGCGAACGGGUGAGUAACGCGUGGGGAAUCUGCCUUUGAGCGGGGGACAACAUCUGGAAACGAAUGCUAAUACCGCAUAAAAACUUUAAACACAAGUUUUAAGUUUGAAAGAUGCAAUUGCAUCACUCAAAGAUGAUCCCGCGGUGGCUUAGCUAGUUGGUGAGGUAAAGGCUCAACAAGGCGAUGAUACAUAGCCGACCUGAGAGGGUGAUCGGCCCCAUUGGGAAUGGGACCCGGGCCCAACUCCUACGGGAGGGCACCGGAGGGGAUCUUCGGCAAUGGACGGAAGGCUGACCGGGCCACGCCGGCGGGAUGGAUGAGGGUUUUGGAUCGUAAAACUCUGUUUGUUGGGGAGAACGAUAGGGAGAGGGAACAGCUCACGUAGUGACGGUACCUAACCAGAAAGCGACGGCUAACUACGUG